rnacentral:lncRNA from 1 species
UUGGACCGCCCUCGUCGCGAUCUUCUGUCAGUUCGUCUACUGCCUCUUGCUCCUUCAAAAGCCACCAAAGUUGAGCUACCGCCACCUGAGCUCGAAGUCGGGUUCUCUCUCCUGAGAACAUCGUUCUGAAGUAUCGCCAUGGUGACCUCAUCCAUCUUGAUGGUGCUCUUCCUCAUUAGAAGAGCAGUUACUAAGGACUCGUACGA